GACAGAGGGUGCAAACGUUGUUCGGAAUUACUGGGCGUAAAGCGCGUGUAGGCGGCCCUGCAAGUCGGAUGUGAAAUCCCACGGCUCAACCGUGGAAGUGCAUUCGAAACUGCAGGCUAGAGUCCUGGAGAGGAAGGUGGAAUGCUUGGUGUAGAGGUGAAAUUCGUAGAUAUCAAGCGGAACACCGGUGGCGAAGGCGGCCUUCUGGACAGUGACUGACGCUGAGACGCGAAAGCGUGGGGAGCAAACAGG
rnacentral:rRNA from 1 species